UAAACAUAUAGGGCUCUCCUAUCUGAUUGGAAAACUCACAUUUGUCGACACACCCAAAAUCUAUGAACAUGGAUCAAUUAUGGAGGGCAAGAUAAACGUUGUUCACUUCAACAACACACCUUUCUCUGACAUGUUUGUCUACCUGUUGGAGAAGAAAGGCUGGUCCUCACAUCGUCUCCAGAACCUAACCAAGUCAUGGUAUUGCCAGUUUCUCUCUCAACACAACCAGUAUGCCCAAAGAGAAUAUUAACCUCAUAGUAAGCAACACACCACAAGUGGAGAACACUAGAUACAGGGUCCCCUAUUUCAACAGAGGGCAACACAUACUCUCACUGAUCCAGCCCACUGCCCCUCACAGUAAACUCUAGCUCUCUGGCUAUUCAGAAGAUGGAGAAACCACUGGCAUGUGGGGAGGAUGUGUCAAUCACCAUCCAGUACGCCAUCGUAGGGGAGACC